UACGUAGGUGGCAAGCGUUGUCCGGAUUUACUGGGCGUAAAGCGUGCGCAGGCGGUUUCGUAAGUCUGUCGUGAAAUCCCCGGGCUUAACCUGGGAAUGGCGAUGGAGACUGCGAGGCUAGAGUUUGGCAGAGGGGGGUAGAAUUCCACGUGUAGCAGUGAAAUGCGUAGAGAUGUGGAGGAACACCGAUGGCGAAGGCAGCCCCCUGGGUCAAAACUGACGCUCAUGCACGAAAGCGUGGGGAGCAAACAGG
rnacentral:rRNA from 1 species